rnacentral:rRNA from 1 species
CGACCGGCGCACGGGUGCAUAACGCGUAUGCAACCUACCCAUAACAGGGGGAUAACACUGAGAAAUUGGUACUAAUACCCCAUAACAUCAGGACCGGCAUCGGUUCUGGUUGAAAACUCCGGUGGUUAUGGAUGGGCAUGCGUUGUAUUAGCUGGUUGGUGAGGUAACGGCUCACCAAGGCAACGAUACAUAGGGGGACUGAGAGGUUAACCCCCCACAUUGGUACUGAGACACGGACCAA